AGACCAUUGUAAGAAGAAUUUUUGUGAGUUUGAGUCAAACUGUCGACAAAUGCCGGGAAGUAAAAUCUCAAUAGAAUGAGAUAAAGGAGAAUGGUGUUUUGCAUCUUGUUUUAUACAUUACAAUCAAAACCAGAACAUUCUCAGCUCUGAGCUCCCCAUGCACGAGGGAUGUUGGCUUUGAGCGGGCAGGAUCUACCCGAGAGGCCUCAGAACUCGUGAGCACAUACUCGGUUCCUGUGAUUGCUUCCCGGUGAGCAGGGAGCAAUAACGUUGCAGAGGAGUGUCCGAAGUUCUGGAAGCCAGAGGUCCGAAAUCCAGAGGCUCUAGAAGGGACCUGAAACUGCUCAGCCAAGGUUUACAAUAAGCAACAUCUAACAGGUCAGAGGUCACUGUCAGCUGGGUGUGGCUGACAUCUCAGAAGCAUCUGACAUUGACCACAUCCUCUAUUUGAAGUCUGACCUUCAUCUGGCUUCUGUGCCACCAUCGCCUGUUUUCCUGACCCUCCCCUCUCCUUUGUUAACCAUCCCCUUUCAUUUUAGGGACUAUUGGUGUUCCUCACAGUUCUAAGCUCGGUGCCACACUUAAUCCUCUCUGCACAUAGUCUCGACCUCCCAAAUUGUUCCAAAUGUCAUUUCCAUGGUUAUGACUGGCAUAUGUACAUCCUUAGUCAGAAUCAUGUCUCCAAACAUGAGACCCAUAUUUCUACUGGCUACCCUAGAAUACCUCCACUGAACAUGUCCAAAAUUGAAUAUAUAUUUUUAGCCUUUCUUGCCCUUAGGCCCUGCUCUAGUUUCUGUGUUCCCUGCCCAUAUGAAAGGGCUCCGUCAUUCUUCCACUCAAGGUAGACGUGGACAUUAUCCUUGAGUCCUCAAAUAUGCAAUUAACAAAGCAAAUAAGACAGAGUCCAGUUUCUAAUGAGCUGAUUUGCUGAAGAUGCCUUCAUACCUACUGCUUUAGUCUAGUUCAGGUUUUGAUAACAAAAUACCACAAAGUGGGUAGCUUAUUAACAACAGAUUUACGAUCAUUGCUUCAGCAUGGUCAGAGGGCCUUCUGGGUCGCAGACUUCUUGUAUUCUCACUAGCUAGAAGGGAGGAGGGACCUUCGGGAGCCUUUUUUAAAAUAUGGGCAGUAAUCCCCUUUAUGAGGUCUGGGCCCUCACAACUUAAGCACCUUCCGAAGGUCCCACCUACAUCACUCCAGGCACAGGAUUUAAAAAAAUAAUUUGGGAGGACACUAACAUUCAGAUACUAGCACCUACCAUUUAAAGCAGUGGUUCUCAACCUGUGGGUCGCGACCCCUUUGGGUGUCGAACGACCCUUUCACAGGGGUCGCCUAAGGCCAUCGGAAGACACAUAUAAUUACAUAUUGUUUUUGUGAUUAAUCACUAUGCUUUAAUUAUGUUCAAUUUGUAACAAUGAAAUUGGGGGUCAGCACAACAUGAGGAACUGUAUUAAAGGGUCGCGGCAUUAGGAAGGUUGAGAACCACUGAUUUAAAGAGUAGGAAUCUAGAAAGCUGAGGCAACCUGGCUUCCUAUGCAAAAUAAAAAGAGUAAAGAAGAGUUCAGGGUCAGAGUUGAAAAUUACUCACAUGAUAAUGUUUAUGCAGUUACACAUUUAGGUUAAAGCUGUUUCCUUUUGUUUGAAAAGACUAGGCUUGGAUUGAAACCACUAGAGGUCCUUUGGGAAGUUAGAUUUAAUUCAAAAUACAAAAGAUUCAAAUUGAUGAUUUUGUCUAAAUUGUCUUCUCAUUGUCCAAUGCUAAACAGAAAAACUGUUGACAAUAUCUAGAUGAAUAUCUAACAGCUGGUGAAGUUAAAAAUUAUUUUCUGCUAUGAAGGCAAAGUAAAAGUUAAGUACCCAAAAGUAAAUGUUAAGAAAAUAAUUAAAAAUUUCAAAAAUAUUUAGUAGUUUUGAAUGAUUUUAAAUUAUAUCAGUAGUAUUUUGAAGUAUAUAAAUUUUUAUUUGAAUAUGUAAUUGGAUAAAUUACUGUUUAUUUAAGUUAAUGUAGAACAUUAAACACUCCUUGCUGGCUGGGCCCCAGGGUUAGGAGUCCCUGCAGGGUAAUAUGAAAUUGGGUGCUAGAAUAGCGCAGAACAUGGGGAGCCAGCACGCACUCACUGCUGCCUUAAGAUUCAUUGCUGGUACCCGAAACUCCAGUGACCCCAGCUUGCUUGAGCCCUGGGAGAGACCAGCAAGCCCGUGCCCCUAGAUGAGGACUUAAAACGAGGCUCACAGCCACCUGGUACCGGUACCGGGCUCUGAGCCAAGGAACCCCCAGACUCUUUCUUCCCUUGCCUCCUGUCUCCUCUGCUUCUGCCCUGACAGUGCACCUGCCUCAGCAGGCUUGGAUUUCGUGGGCGCAUGCCCCUGAGGGGGAACUGGAGCUGCUGUGGCUCGCAGACCCAGAGUUCUGCCUCCUGCCACCCCCCCUGCCAGUUCCCCAGCCAAAGCGCCCCUCCACGCUGUGGCUGUGCGCUGGGGAGGAGGAGGGAUGCGGGUUAUUGGCUCCAUCCCAGGGCGAGGUCCCCUGGUGGCCGUUCAUUGUUAAGACAAUGGGACUGAAAAUCUUCUCACCUGAUACUUGCUCUAAUCACUGAGCCACGCCAUCCAGGGCUGUGUGAUCUAUUUGAUCAGUUACUAGUCUUCUUAUGUUUAUGCAAAUAAUAAGACCAAACUAAAACUGGACUUAAUGCAGGCUUUCUAAAAAUGAGAGUAAUCUCGGGGAGCAAAAUUAUAUGCUAAUAAAAACCACAAUACUCAGUUGUGGAUAUUGGACUCCACUACAAUGAACUGUCUUCAAAGUUUUGUUUUUAAGGCUAUGUCUGCACGCCACACAGAACUCAGACCUGAUGACAUCACCAGAGAUGUUCAAACUACAGAUAAUCCAUCAGGUUGUCAUUGCUUGAUGCCAUUCCAACGAAAGCCUUACAUCUGGAAAUCUUCUCAAAUGUACGAUGGACAGAAGGGCUUCAGACAGGUGUGACACACCAGCCUCCAGGGAAGCCGCUCCUCCAAAAUCACCUGGAACACUUUUAUUACUUUUAGAGUACAAUAAGAAUGCCAGCUUGUCUAUCGCGUCAUCCUCUGGACAUUGCUUAUGUCACCUCCCGGGGACACCAGGCUGACCUGGACUUUGCAGAAUCCCUCUUCCCUGCAUGAAGACUCCCCUUCCCGUUCGCUCCUCCUUCCUCAGUCAGACAGGAAGAACCUCUGAGCCUUGGGAUAGGCAGGACUAUGCCCCUUGACAGCAGAAAGCAGUUACAAGAAGAUGGAGAUAUUCACCCAUUUAUCUCCUUGUAAGAUUACAAGGCUUAAGUUCUUGAAGGGAGAGAGUAAUACCACUGUGGUCAGCUAGUUAUUAAUAAUAGGACAGAAGCAAAGGGAAGGUCAGAUAUUAUAGGCUUGUCAUUUGCGCGGUUUCACCAGGAAGCUGCAACUUUGCACUCCCAAGGGAGCCACUGGCCUAUUCCCUGCAUAACACUGGGGAAAGGGAUCCAACGAAGGAAAGACAGAUGCAUGUCCAGUAAAGUUGGGGUGACCUAGGGAAGAUACUUCUGUGUCAGUCACUCUGGAGGACAGA